GUAGGUGGGCAAGCGUUGUCCGGAAUUAUUGGGCGUAAAGCGCGCGCAGGCGGUUCUUUAAGUCUGAUGUGAAAGCCCACGGCUCAACCGUGGAGGGUCAUUGGAAACUGGAGAACUUGAGUACAGAAGAGGAAAGCGGAAUUCCACGUGUAGCGGUGAAAUGCGUAGAGAUGUGGAGGAACACCAGUGGCGAAGGCGGCUUUCUGGUCUGUAACUGACGCUGAGGCGCGAAAGCGUGGGGAGCAAACAGGGAUUAGAUACCCUGGUAGUCCACGCCGUAAACGAUGAGUGCUAAGUGUUAGGGGGUUUCCGCCCCCUUACUGCUGCAGCUAACGCAUUAAGCACUCGCCUGGGGAUACGGCCGCAAGGCUG
rnacentral:rRNA from 1 species